AAGGCAGACGCUAAGCCGUCAGUACGUUAUUCUGUGCAGCGAACUAGUACCAUGCGUAUGUCGGUGCGCGUACUGUGCGUCAUUAUGGUGCUCCACGUCAGCGCGGCCAGUACGUCGGACAACCGUACGGCGCCGUCCCACACAGCAAUCGACUUGCCGCCUCCGUCCGGAAAAGCGCCUGGUGCGGCUAUUACACUGCCUCCCAGGUGCCCGGACGACACGACUAACGUCAACGGAAAAUGCGUACGCACCAUUCAUAUACAAGAUAACCGGGAGAACUGAAGAUCAUCAGGCUGGCGGGCUGUAUCCAGCUAGGAAUGAGGAACAUUCGCUCAAGGGUGCGCUUCGUCGCACAAAUUAAAAACAACGCAUGUAUGGACACCAGUACUACACAAAGACGAAUGUAAAAUUUUGUAAUAAAAAUGCAAAUAUUUUCAGCAAUGUAAAAUAAGUUCACACCUUUGUACCCCUAGAAACAGAACAUAAACAACUCUUUCCAAAGAGUUGAAUACUCAUGGACCAUAGAAUGUUUGAUGAAAUGUGUGCUGUUCACUCAUUUACAAAAUAAAAGAAUGAUAUUCCGCCAGCAAAUAUCAGGCUAUUGUUGUCAUUGCAGGUUAUGAGGAGAUACUUUAGGUAUUCAGAAAGAGAAAUGUUAAUAAUCGUUGAGCAUAUACUUACAGAGAACUGCAAGCAGACACUUUUUUAAAUAGUUAUUUAUUCCACAAACCGGUUUUCGAACCUUCCCAGGCUCAUCUUCAGAUGUUACACAGGAGGUUACAUGACUGUUUCUCAGUGUAAUACUGGAAGCUGGCUCUACGACAAGAAUAUGGACUAUGCUUUAACGAAUCACCAUGACUAUUGUUCAUAUGGCGAUUUGGAUCUAAAAAUUAAUUCUGCACUCACUGUGAACAGUGUUAAUAUCCAUCUGUUCGCAGUGAGUGUAGGAUUUUGUGAUGUAUAAUUGCUAAAACAUCACCCAUUUUUUACAAGAUGUGUACACGUAUGUACCAGAGUUACAGACCUUUCCCUGCAUCCAUCAUGUGAUAUACAGCUGAUGUUUGUUGCAAAGACUCCUUCGUACGAAGAUAUGACACUCUUUUCUCAGAGAAAUUACUUGUUUUUGUUUCCUGUAAUAAAGUCGAUGUAUGAGUUAACAUGAAUACCCAUAAAUAAAAUAAGUUAAUAAAAUACUACACGAACAAAUUUCAAAUAA